rnacentral:rRNA from 1 species
AUUUAACGGCCGCGGUACCAUAACCGUGCGAAGGUAGCGUAAUCACCUGUUUCUUAAAUAGAGACCAGUAUGAACGGCCCACUGAGAGUUCAACUGUCUCCUGCGGCCAAUCAAUGAAACUGAUCUUUCAGUACAAAAGCUGAAAUAUAUACACAAGACGAGAAGACCCUGUGGAACUUUAAGCCUACCACUACAAAGACAACGAGCCCAACGGCACAAACGAAACACUAUAGUAUAAACUUUAAGUUGGGGCGACUGCGGAGAAAAACAGAACCUCCAUGAAACCGGACUAACCCUCCUCCACAAGGCACACAAGCCAAACGGAAUUAUAGUACUGAUCCAGUAAUACUGACCACCGAACCAAGCUACCCCAGGGAUAACAGCGCCAUCUCCCUCAAGAGCCCAUAUCGCCAGGGAGGCUUACGACCUCGAUGUUGGAUUAGGACACCCCAGUGGUGAAGCCGCUACUAAAGGUUCGUUUGUUCAACGAUUAAUGUCAUA